UACGUAGGGGGCGAGCGUUGUCCGGAGUUACUGGGCGUAAAGCGCUUGUAGGCGGUCCACCAAGUUUGGGGUGACAGUUGCCGACUUAAUCGGCAAAGUGCCUCAAAGACUGGCGGACUUGAGGGCCACAGAGGGACAUGGAACUCCAGGUGUAGUGGUGAAAUGCGUAGAUAUCGGGAAGAACACCCGUGGCGAAGGCGGCUCUCUGGGACGGUACUGACGCUGAGACGCGAAAGCGUGGGGAGCGAACAGG
rnacentral:rRNA from 1 species